rnacentral:sRNA from 1 species
GCCGGGUGCAGUGUGCACUCCUGUAAUCCCAGCAGCUCAGGAGGCUGAGUCAGGAGGAUUGUGAGUUCAAAGCCAGCCUCAGCAAUUUAGCAAGGCCCUAAGCAACUCAGUGAGACCCUGUCUCUA